GGGCCCGUGGCCUAGCCAGGAUAGGGCAUCGGCCUCCUAAGCCGAGGGUCCCCGGUUCAAAUCCGGGCGGGCCCG
rnacentral:tRNA from 1 species